CGCUAGCUUGUCUCAAUGAGACGAGUCCGAGCAAACAACGCGCUCUUACGUGCCCGAAUUUUAAAAAAAUAAUAAAAUUCCCAAUAAAUGCAAAGGAGAAUUUCGCCAUGUCUAGCCGCCUCGCCGGAGAUACUCCCUUCUCAAAUCGCCCUCUCCGGUCAUCCUCCGACGCCCUCAGUAUUUCCUCCCCGCACAUUCUCCCGCUCUUCGCCGCAAAGUAUAUCCUCUCGCCGGAGCCAGCCGCCCGAGGACUCUGACUGGCCAGGGGUGCUCUGGGUUGGGGUGGGCUUCCACUUUAAUGAUUUCCAAGCCUUCGCUUUUGUGUUUCACUCGGUUUCUGAUUGCGCCUUGAAGCUGUUUGAUGAUUUGCUUAGAUGAUCGACUGUGAAAUUUGAGGGCGACACGAUCUUCAUUUGGAUGACUUUGAAAUCAAUAAGGUGAGAAGAGAUGGAGAAUUCACCAAGCACGCACAGAGAAAUGGCGCCUCCACAGGGCUGCGUUAGAAGAUGAAUGUCUUGAUGCCACUGGAGACCAGAGCUUCUGCUGCAGACGACCCCGCCUAUAACUGCUGCUCGCAGUGUUGCAGUGAUGAUAAAAGUUAGUCUUUCUGCAUCUAAUUGUUUGGGGCUUAAUGGUUUUGGACCUCAAUUUCUCAGUAACUUAUUCAAAAUACAAUGUGCUCGGAAUCACUGAGGAGAAUCAGAGAAUCGAGGGAAAAAAUAUCAUGUUAACCUGGAAGCAGAGGUCCAAGCUUAAUAGCACUUCAAAUCUUCUACUUCCAUGGUGAUCCUUUAAAGCGUGGAGAUCGAUGUGAGGAUCCCAUAUGAUAAUGAUUCCCAACCCAACUACUGCUUGUCAGCUCACUGUUAAUAGAUGAUAUUGGAGACAGCUUAUGCUUAUAAGGAGAGAUUCUGUCGUGGCCAUGUAUGCAGGAAUGAUAGGAGAACCUACAAAUAAAGUUUCAUCCCCUGUGGACCGCUGCUUCCUAUGAUGAUAUGGUUUUCUUGGGACAUAUGCAGGAGACUCUGGCACAUCUGCUU